rnacentral:rRNA from 1 species
AACGAACGCUGGCGGCAUGCCUAACACAUGCAAGUCGAACGAGAUCUUCGGAUCUAGUGGCGCACGGGUGCGUAACGCGUGGGAAUCUGCCCUUGGGUACGGAAUAACUCAGAGAAAUUUGUGCUAAUACCGUAUAAUGUCUUCGGACCAAAGAUUUAUCGCCCAAGGAUGAGCCCGCGUAGGAUUAGCUAGUUGGUGAGGUAAAAGCUCACCAAGGCGACGAUCCUUAGCUGGUCUGAGAGGAUGAUCAGCCACAUUGGGACUGAGACACGGCCCAGACUCCUACGGGAGGCAGCAGUGGGGAAUAUUGGACAAUGGGCGAAAGCCUGAUCCAGCAAUGCCGCGUGAGUGAUGAAGGCCCUAGGGUUGUAAAGCUCUUUUACCCGGGAUGAUAAUGACAGUACCGGGAGAAUAAGCUCCGGCUAACUUCGUG